UCUUUUGUGGCGUAACGGCAUCGCACCUCACCCCUCCAACAUAUUCUUAGAGGAGAUUCCCGGUUCAAUCCGGGCAGAGGGU